UCCGGUUUAUCACCGGCAGUCCCCUAUGAGUCCCCGGCCGAACCGCUGGCAACAUAGGGCAAGGGUUGCGCUCGUUGCGGGACUUAACCCAACAUCUCACGACACGAGCUGACGACAGCCAUGCAGCACCUGUAUACGUGUCCCGAAGGAGGCUCCCUGUUUCCAGACCGGUCAUCCACAUGUCAAGCCCAGGUAAGGUUCUUCGCGUUGCGUCGAAUUAAACCACAUGCUCCGCUGCUUGUGCGGGCCCCCGUCAAUUCCUUUGAGUUUCAACCUUGCGGUCGUACUCCCCAGGCGGGGUACUUCCUGCGUUAGCGCCGGCACCCAGAGGGUCGCUCCUCCAGGCACCUAGUACCCAUCGUUUACGGCGUGGACUAC
rnacentral:misc_RNA from 1 species